rnacentral:lncRNA from 1 species
UAUAAAAAGCAAAAGUAGGUCUUUUAGCUCAAAGAUAUCAAUGAAGAAAAUAAUUUGUGGCAGUACCUCAAACAAAAAAAUAACAUGAAACAUGAAGAAAUUGUAAUUAAUUGUCAAUUUUCCUAACAAGAUUAACAAAGGAAAAACUCUGGGAAAUGCUGAUAAACCAUAUACUGAUGUUCACAGAAUCAAAUAGAUCAAGAACUUGAAUGAGUUUUACUUACGAGUAAUUUUACACUUCCGAAAUCACAUAUUUUAAACUAAUGA